rnacentral:rRNA from 1 species
UAGGGAAUCUUCGGCAAUGGACGAAAGUCUGACCGAGCAACGCCGCGUGAGUGAAGAAGGUUUUCGGAUCGUAAAACUCUGUUGUUAGAGAAGAACAAGGACGUUAGUAACUGAACGUCCCCUGACGGUAUCUAACCAGAAAGCCACGGCUAACUACGUGCCAGCAGCCGCGGUAAUACGUAGGUGGCAAGCGUUGUCCGGAUUUAUUGGGCGUAAAGCGAGCGCAGGCGGUUUCUUAAGUCUGAUGUGAAAGACCCCGGCUCAACCGGGGAGGGUCCUUGGAAACUGGGAGAAUUGAGUGCAGGAGAGGAGAGUGGAAUUCCAUGUGUAGCGGUGAAAUGCAUAGAUAUAUGGAGGAACACCAGUGGCGAAGGCGGCUCUCUGGUCUAUAACUGACACUGAGGCUCGAGAGCGUGGGGAGCAAACAGG